AAAGGAAUAGACGGGGGCCCGCACAAGCAGCGGAGCAUGUGGUUUAAUUCGAAGCAACGCGAAGAACCUUACCAGGUCUUGACAUCCCUCUGACAGCUCUAGAGAUAGAGUCUUCCCUUCGGGGACAGAGGUGACAGGUGGUGCAUGGUUGUCGUCAGCUCGUGUCGUGAGAUGUUGGGUUAAGUCCCGCAACGAGCGCAACCCUUGUCUUUAGUUGCCAUCAUUAAGUUGGGCACUCUAAAGAGACUGCCGGGGAUAACUCGGAGGAAGGUGGGGAUGACGUCAAAUCAUCAUGCCCCUUAUGAUCUGGGCUACACACGUGCUACAAUGGAUGGUACAGAGGGCUGCGAAACCGCGAGGUGAAGCUAAUCUCAGAAAGCCAUUCUCAGUUCGGAUUGCAGGCUGCAACUCGCCUGCAUGAAGCUGGAGUUGCUAGUAAUCGCGGAUCAGAAUGCCGCGGUGAAUGCGUUCCCGGGCCUUGUACACACCGCCCGU
rnacentral:rRNA from 1 species